rnacentral:rRNA from 1 species
UAAAACGCUGGCGGCGUGCCUAACACAUGCAAGUCGAGCGAGAAAGUUUCUAUCGGAAAUGAGUAAAGCGGCGAACGGUUGAGUAAUACGCGAGAAUCUUCCCUUUAGUGAAGAAUACCUUCGAGAAAUCGAAGUUAAUACUGCAUAAGUCCCUGCGGGGAGAAAGGUGGCCUUUUGCUACCGCUAAAGGAUGAGCUUGCGCGCUAUCAUGCUAGUUGGUAGGGUAAUGGCCUACCAAGGCUUUGACGGCUAGCCGGCCUGAGAGGGUGUACGGCCAGACUGGAACUUAGACACGGUCCAGACUCCUACGGGAGGCAGCAGUGGGGAAUCUUGCGCAAUGGCGAAAGCCUGACGCAGCGGACGCCGCGGUGAGGAUGAAGGUCUUAGGAUUGUAAACCCUGUUAAGUGGGAAGAAAGACCUAUCUCUAAUACAGAUGGGGAAUGACGGUACCAUUAGAGAAAGCACCGGCUAAUCUCGUGCCAGCAGCCGCGGUAAUACGAGAGGUGGCAAGCGUUAUUCGGAAUAUUGGGCGUAAAGGGUGCGUAGACGGUAUGUUAAGUCAACUGUUAAAUUCUUCGGCCUAACCGGAGGUCAGCAGUAGAAACUGAUGUGCUAGAGGAUGGAAGAGAGAAGUGGAAUUCUCGGAGUAGCGGUAAAAUGCGUAGAUCUCGAGAGGAACACCGAUGGCGAAGGCAGCUUCUUGGUUCAUAUCUGACGUUGAGGCACGAAAGCGUGGGGAGGCAAACAGGAUUAGAUACCCUGGUAGUCCACGCUGUAAACGAUGAUCACUAGACGUUAGUUCUGCUAUGCGGAAUUAGUGUCGUAGCUAACGCGAUAAGUGAUCCGCCUGGGGAUUACGGUCGCAAGACUAAAACUCAAAGGAAUUGACGGGGGUCCGCACAAGCGGUGGAGCAUGUGGUUUAAUUCGACACUACGCGAGGAACCUUACCUAGGCUUGACAUGUUUUUGACAGUCGUAGAAAUACGAUCUUUUAGGCUUCGGUCUAAACAAUUACACAGGUGCUGCAUGGCUGUCGUCAGCUCGUGUCGUGAGAUGUUGGGUAAGUCCUAUAACGAGCGCAACCCUUGCCGUUAGUUGCUACUUCUUAUGGAAGGCACUCUAGCGGGACUGCCUGGGAAACCAGGAGGAAGGUGGGAAUGACGUCAAGUCAGCAUGGCCCUUAUGUCUAGGCUACACGCGUGUUACAAUGGCUAGUACAAUGGGUUUGCCAACUCGUAAGAGUGAGCUAAUCCUCAAAACUAGUCUAAGUUCAGAUUGAGGUCUGCAACCCGACCUCAUGAAGUUGAAAUCGCUAGUAAUCGCGCAAUCAGACACGGCGCGGUGAAUACGUUCUCGGGCCUUGUACACACCGCCCGUCACACCACGAAAGCUGUCUGUACCCAAAAACAUUUAGCUAACCCGUAAGGUGAGGCGGAUGUCUAAGGUAUGGGGAGUGAUUGGGGUG